rnacentral:snRNA from 1 species
GGAUGUGAGGGCUAUCUGGCUGAGACAUUUGUUGCCCAAUUGAUCACCAGGGUUGAUUCAGCUGAUCUGGCUGGCUAGGCAGGUGUCCUCUUCCUCCCUUACCAUUCCAUGUGCAUCUGUGUCCCUCCUGAAGUUGCUUGCUCGGUAGAAGAGGACGGCCUUUCUGGAAUAGAGACUGAUUAGUCUUCGGUUGAGGGUAUAGGAGUAGUUGCGCUCCCCUGCUAGAACCUUCAAACAAGCUCUGAAGAAGAGUUUUUCUUUUUCUUGAUAAUAACUGUAGUUAUUGUAAGUGACCCUAAAAUAACUUGGAAAGAAAAAAUGCAUUAUACUAUCUCUUGAAAUAUUAUUUUCA